rnacentral:rRNA from 1 species
CCUACGGGGGGCAGCAGUGAGGAAUAUUGGUCAAUGGGCGCAAGCCUGAACCAGCCAAGUCGCGUGAGGGAUGACGGUCCUAUGGAUUGUAAACCUCUUUUGUCGGGGAGCAAGGCCCGCCACGUGUGGCGGGAAGGAGAGUACCCGAAGAAAAAGCAUCGGCUAACUCCGUGCAAGCAGCCGCGGUAAUACGGAGGAUGCGAGCGUUCUCCGGAUUUAUUGGGUUUAAAGGGUGCGUAGGCGGAAGGUUAAGUCCGUGGUAAAAUGUCGGUGCUCAACACCGGCCUGCCGUUGAAACUGGGCGUCUUGAGUGAGCGAGAAGUAGGCGGAAUGCGUGGUGUAGCGGUGAAAUGCAUAGAGAGCACGCAGAACUCCGAUUGCGAAGGCAGCAUACCGGCGCUCAACUGACGCUGAGGCACGAAAGCGUGGGGAUCGAACAGGAUUAGAUACCCUUGUAGUC